AGUGGCGGACGGGUGAGUAACGCGUAAGAAUCUACCUUCAGGUCGGGGACAACCACUGGAAACGGUGGCUAAUACCGGAUGUGCCGAGAGGUGAAAGGCUUGCUGCCUGAAGAAGAGCUAGCGUCUGAUUAGCUAGUUGGUAGUGUAAGAGACUACCAAGGCGACGAUCAGUAGCUGAUCUGAGAGGAUGAUCAGCCACACUGGGACUGAGACACGGCCCAGACUCCUACGGGAGGCAGCAGUGGGGAAUUUUCCGCAAUGGGCGAAAGCCUGACGGAGCAAUACCGCGUGAGGGAGGAAGGCUCUUGGGUUGUAAACCUCUUUUCUCAGGGAAGAACAGAAUGACGGUACCUGAGGAAUAAGCAUCGGCUAACUCCGUGCCAGCAGCCGCGGUAAUACGGAGGAUGCAAGCGUUAUCCGGAAUGAUUGGGCGUAAAGAGUCCGUAGGUGGCAUUGAAAGUCUGCUGUUAAAGAGUCUAGCUCAACUAGAUAAGAGCAGUGGAAACUACAAAGCUAGAGUUUGGUCGGGGCAGAAGGAAUUCCUGGUGUAGCGGUGAAAUGCGUAGAUAUCAGGAAGAACACCGGUGGCGAAGGCGUUCUGCUAGGCCGAGACUGACACUGAGGGACGAAAGCUAGGGGAGCGAAUGGGAUUAGAUACCCCAGUAGUCCUAGCCGUAAACGAUGGAUACUAGGCGUAGCU
rnacentral:rRNA from 1 species